rnacentral:rRNA from 1 species
CACGUAGUUAGCCGUGGCUUUCUGAUUAGGUACCGUCAAGAUGUGCACAGCUACUUACACAUUUGUUCUUCCCUAAUAACAGAGUUUUACGAGCCGAAACCCUUCAUCACUCACGCGGCGUUGCUCCGUCAGGCUUUCGCCCAUUGCGGAAGAUUCCCUACUGCUGCCCUCCCGUAGGAGUCUGGACCGUGUCUCAGUUCCAGUGUGGCCGAUCACCCUCUCAGGUCGGCUACGUAUCGUUGCCUUGGUAAGCCGUUACCUUACCAACUAGCUAAUACGGCGCGGGUCCAUCUAUAAGUGAUAGCAAAACCAUCUUUCACUUUAGAACCAUGCGGUUACCAAAUUGUUAUCCGGUAUUAGCCUUCCGGUUUCCCGAAGUUACUCCCAGUCUUAUAGGUACGGUUACCCACGUUGUUACCUCACCCGUCCGCCCGCUAACGUACAAGGAGCAAGCUCCUUAUCUGUUCGCUCGACUUGCAUGUAUUAGGCUACGCCCGCAGCGUUCAUCCUGACGCCAGGAUCAAACUCUACCG